UCUUCAGGUUUGAACUAACAUCUGAAAAGGAUGAAGGGUGUUACGAUCUUUCUGAUAUUGUCACUGGUCGUCCUCAUGGCUGAACCUGGCGAGUGUAUUUGGAGAAAAUUGUGGAACGCUGGAAAGACCAUAAUCAAAACAUUGGGAAGAGAUCAACAAUAAUUCAUGGAC